UACGUAGGGUGCGAGCGUUGUCCGGAAUUACUGGGCGUAAAGGGCUCGUAGGUGGCCAACUAAGUCAGACGUGAAAUCCCUCAGCUUAACUGGGGAACUGCGUCUGAUACUGGAUGGCUUGAGUUUGGGAGAGGGAUGCAGAAUUCCAGGUGUAGCGGUGAAAUGCGUAGAUAUCUGGAGGAACACCGGUGGCGAAGGCGGCAUCCUGGGACCAACACUGACACUGAUGAGCGAAAGCCAGGGGAGCAAACGGG
rnacentral:rRNA from 1 species